rnacentral:misc_RNA from 1 species
AACGCACAUUGCGCCCGCCAGUAUUCUGGCGGGCAUGCCUGUUCGAGCGUCAUUUCAACCAUCAAGCCCCCGGGCCUGUGUUGGGGACCUGCGGCUGCCGCAGGCCCCGAAAACCAGUGGCGGGCUCGCUGUCACCCCGAGCGUAGUAGUUUACACCUCGCCCAGGGCGCGACGCGGGUUUCCCGGCCGUUAAACACCCCCCAUCUAAAGGUUGACCUCGGAUCAGGUAGGAAGACCCGCUGAACUUAA